GACGAACGCUGGCGGCGUGCCUAAUACAUGCAAGUAGAACGCUGAAGGAGGAGCUUGCUUCUCUGGAUGAGUUGCGAACGGGUGAGUAACGCGUAGGUAACCUGCCUGGUAGCGGGGGAUAACUAUUGGAAACGAUAGCUAAUACCGCAUAAGAGUAGAUGUUGCAUGACAUUUGCUUAAAAGGUGCAAUUGCAUCACUACCAGAUGGACCUGCGUUGUAUUAGCUAGUUGGUGAGGUAACGGCUCACCAAGGCAACGAUACAUAGCCGAACUGAGAGGGUGAGCGGCCAGACUGAGAGGGAGACAGGGCCCAUACGCAUUGAGGAGGCAGCAGGAGGGAAUCUGGAGCAAGAGACGGAAGUCAGACCGAGCAGCGCCGCGGGAGUGAAGAAGAAUUUCGGGUCGUAGAUCUCUGUUGUAGGAGAGGAACGAGUGUGAGAGUGGAAAGUUCACACUGUGACGGUAACUGAUCAGAAAGGAACGGCUAACUACGUG
rnacentral:rRNA from 1 species